GGAUCAUUAAAGAGUUUUUAGAACUCCCUAAACCCAUGUGAACUUACCAUUUGUUGCCUCGGCAGGUCGCGCCUAACCCCGUGAGACCCCUACCCUGUAGGGCCUUACCCGGUGGACGCGGGCUUCCCUGCCGGCGGCCCAUCAAACUCUGUUUUUAUAUUAUAUUUUACAUCUGAAUCUAUAACGGAAUACGUUUAAAACUUUCAACAACGGAUCUCUUGGUUCUGGCAUCGAUGAAGAACGCAGCGAAAUGCGAUAAGUAAUGUGAAUUGCAGAAUUCAGUGAAUCAUCGAAUCUUUGAACGCACAUUGCGCCCAUUAGUAUUCUAGUGGGCAUGCCUGUUCGAGCGUCAUUUCAACCCUUAAGCCUCUGUUGCUUAGUGUUGGGAGCUUACAGCCCUCUGUAGCUCCCCAAAGUUAGUGGCGGAGUCGGUCUCACACUCUAGACGUAGUAAAUCUUUUUUUUAUCUCGCCUACAGAGGAGCCGGCGCCUUGCCGUAAAACCCCCUCAUUUUUUUUACAAGGUUGACCUCGGAUCAGGUAGGAAUACCCGCUGAACUUAAGCAUAUCAAUAAGCGGAGGAAAAGAAACCAACAGGGAUUGCCCUAGUAACGGCGAGUGAAGCGGCAACAGCUCAAAUUUGAAAUCUGGCCUUCGGGUCCGAGUUGUAAUUUGUAGAGGAUGCUUUUGGCGCGGUGCCUUCCGAGUUCCCUGGAACGGGACGCCUUAGAGGGUGAGAGCCCCGUACGGUUGGACACCAAGCCUCUGUAAAGCUCCUUCGACGAGUCGAGUAGUUUGGGAAUGCUGCUCUAAAUGGGAGGUAAAUUUCUUCUAAAGCUAAAUAUUGGCCAGAGACCGAUAGCGCACAAGUAGAGUGAUCGAAAGAUGAAAAGCACUUUGAAAAGAGGGUUAAAUAGCACGUGAAAUUGUUGAAAGGGAAGCGUUUGCGACCAGACCUCUUCCUGGCGGAUCAUCCGGUGUUCUCACCGGUGCACUUUGCCAGGUGGAGGCCAGCAUCGGUUUUCGUAGGGGGAUAAAAGCUUGGGGAACGUAGCUCCCUCGGGAGUGUUAUAGCCCCUCGCACAAUACCCUUACGGGGACCGAGGACCGCG
rnacentral:rRNA from 1 species